rfam:Glossina brevipalpis unplaced genomic scaffold Scaffold147, whole genome shotgun sequence.
GCUAGACGAAGUGUGAGUAGGGGGUAGGUUUAUAAUACGUAGGCACCAUGGAUGGUGAAUCGUGCAUGCUACUGGCACGGGUUGGUAGUAUCUUUGGAAGAUUCCCAUCUCUAGC